rnacentral:pre_miRNA from 1 species
AUACAGGGCAAUCUGUCUUUAAGUAGAGAUAAAUUACUCAAAAAAAAAAAAAAAUUCUAGUUUUCCUUCAAGUCAAGCAUCUUGG